rnacentral:tRNA from 2 species
GGGAAAGGUAGGACGUAAGUGGAUUUCUAAUCCGUGUUAUAGGCAGUUCAACUCUGUCUUUUUCCCU